rnacentral:rRNA from 1 species
CCUACGGGGGGCAGCAGUGAGGAAUAUUGGUCAAUGGGCGCGAGCCUGAACCAGCCAAGUAGCGUGAAGGCUGCCUGCCCUACGGGUUGUAAACUUCUUUUAUAAAGGAAUAAAGUGAGGCACGUGUGCCUUUUUGUAUGUACUUUAUGAAUAAGGCUCGGCUAACUCCGUGCCAGCAGCCGCGGUAAUACGGAGGAUCCGAGCGUUAUCCGGAUUUAUUUGGUUUAAAGGGAGCGUAGAUGGGUUGUUAAGUCAGUUGUGAAAGUUUGCGGAUCAACCGUAAAAUUGCAAUUGCUACUGGCAGCCUUGAGUACAGUUGAGGUAGGCGGAAUUCGUGGUGUAGCGGUGAAAUGCUUAGAUAUCACGAAGAACUCCGAUUGCGAAGGCAGCCUACUAAACUGCCACUGACAUUGAUGCUCGAAAGUGUGGGUAUCAAACAGGAGUAGAUACCCUAGUAGUC